rnacentral:sRNA from 1 species
UGAAAAACUAUAAUCCAACUAAGCAAGGUCAAACACAAUAUUUCAGCAAAAUUCUAUAAAGUUGUGAAUGCAAUUGUCAGCACUCAGAGGGUAACCCUAUAUACUAAAAAGGUUCGUGAAAUGAUCAAAGUUGCUAAGCUCUUAAAAUUUUCACAACAGCUCCAAAUGACUAGUAAUUACAUCUGGGCAGGACUGGGCCCGCAGAAGCUCCAGACGGUUGAAAGGUGGAGCAAAUUGCAAAAUGUAAUCUUCAUCUGAAACAAAAAUACACACGAAAUAAAAGCAAUCGGUCACUACUUCAACAAAACAAAAACAGAGAGCGCGUAUACUACUCACCUUCUUUUACUGUUCCAUAGAGCCAGCAUAAUACCUCAUCUGCAAAAGCCAAGCAGACUCCUCCCUGCCAACAGAUUUUGUUAAUUAUCAUGAAAAGCAAAGUGAUCACACUUCAGAACUUACAGAUAUAAAUGUGAUUUUAUCCUCCUAAGAUGAUAUUGAACGAUCCUUAAUUAGCUAUGCAACGAUUAAUUGCACUUAUAAGUAUGUACUUUUUAUCAUUGAUGUGAGAGAAGGAAAUAACAUCUGGAGCGUUCUCCAUGACCCACAGGGUGUGCUUACUGCAGUUUUAAUUAACUAACGAUGCAGUAUCAAGCCACAUAAAAGAUUAGCCACCUUUCACCCUACAGCAGUUAUAC